GGUCGAAUGGGGAAAUUCAUUCGCGUUUCGAUUGUCGGCGUUAAGCUGAUGCGUGACUAACGGGGUACGCUUCGUGAGCACCAUCAGUUUUUCGAACCGACUUCGAACGCGUGCACUUUUCCCCUAGUAGGACGUCGCGAUCCGUUGGGUGUCGAUCUAAGGCCUGCGGUGGAGCUCGCGUGGACGUUUCGGCGUUCCAUACGAACCCGCAGUGUCCCGAUCGACUCGCUCGACGGUAUAAAGAUGGCGCGAGGCCGCUACACAGUUAGCGUUCGGCCUACGGCAAGCACGUACGGUGUUUGAUGGCGAUCAGACCUAGUCGGAUCCCAUCCCCGGACGACUGUUGGCACGUAGUGUUCUCGAACAGACCUCGUUGAAACGCCGAUCUGCGACGCUAUAGCUUUGGGUACUUUCAGGACCCGUCUUGAAACACGGA
rnacentral:rRNA from 1 species